rnacentral:rRNA from 1 species
CCUACGGGGGGCAGCAGUGAGGAAUAUUGCCCAAUGGACGCAAGUCUGAGGCAGCAACGCCGCGUGCGCGAUGAAGGCCUUCGGGUCGUAAAGCGCUUUUCUGGGGGAAGAGGAAGGACGGUACCUCAGGAAUAAGUCACGGCUAACUACGUGCCAGCAGCCGCGGUAAUACGUAGGUGGCAAGCGUUAUCCGGAUUUACUGGGCGUAAAGCGCGUGCAGGCGGUUUCGUAAGUCGGAUGUGAAAGCUCCUGGCUUAACUGGGAGAGUGCGUUCGAUACUGCGAGGCUUGAGGUCGGGAGAGGGACGUGGAAUUCCCGGUGUAGUGGUGGAAUGCGUAGAUAUCGGGAGGAACACCAGUGGCGAAGGCGGCGUCCUGGCCCGUACCUGACGCUGAGACGCGAAAGCGUGGGUAGCGAACGGGAUUAGAUACCCCGGUAGUC